GUGCACCAGUCGCGAAAAUUCCACAAUGCGCGAAAGCGUGAUGGAGUUAUCCCGAGUGUCACCUGCUGAGGGUGGCUUUUCUCCAGUCUUAACAGCUGGAUGAAUAAGGAGAGGGCAAGUCUGGUGUCAGCCGCCGCGGUAAUACCAGCUCUCCGAGUGGUAGGGACGAUUAUUGGGCUUAAAGCGUCCGUAGCCGGCUCAGCAAGUCUCCCGUUAAAUCCAACGAUUCAAUCGUUGGACUGCGGGAGAUACUGUUGAGCUAGGAGGCGGGAGAGGCCGACGGUAUUCCCGGAGUAGGGGUGAAAUCUUAUAAUUCCGGGAGGACCACCAGUGGCGAAGGCUGUCGGCUAGAACGCGCUCGACGGUGAGGGACGAAAGCUGGGGGAGCGAACCGGAUUAGAUACCCGGGUAGUCC
rnacentral:rRNA from 1 species